rnacentral:rRNA from 1 species
AGAACGAACGCUGGCGGCAUGCCUAACACAUGCAAGUCGAACGCUCUCGGGGCUUCGGUUUCAAGGGAGUGGCGCACGGGUGAGUAGCGCGUGGGAACCUGCCCUGUUGUGGGGGAUAACCGAGGGAAACUUCGGCUAAUACCGCAUGCGCCCGGGGAAACCCGGGGAAAGAUUUAUCGCAGCAGGAGGGGCCCGCGUCGGAUUAGGUAGUUGGUAGGGUAACGGCCUACCAAGCCUUUGAUCCGUAGCUGGUCUGAGAGGAUGAUCAGCCACACUGGGACUGAGACACGGCCCAGACUCCUACGGGAGGCAGCAGUGGGGAAUAUUGGACAAUGGGCGCAAGCCUGAUCCAGCAAUGCCGCGUGAGUGAUGAAGGCCUUAGGGUUGUAAAGCUCUUUCGCCCGCGACGAUGAUGACGGUAGCGGGAGAAGAAGCCCCGGCUAACUUCGCGCCAGCAGCCGC